rnacentral:rRNA from 1 species
UACGGGGGGGGUAAGCGUUGUUCGGAUUCACUGGGCGUAAAGGGUGCGCAGGCGGCCAUGUGUGUGAGGCGUGAAAGCCCGGGGCUUAACCCCGGAAUUGCACCUCAAACUACAUGGCUAGAGCAUUGGAGAGGGUAGCAGAAUUCAUGGUGUAGCAGUGAAAUGCGUAGAGAUCGGGAGGAACACCGGCGGCGAAGGCGGCUGCCUGGACCAGUCCUGACGCUGAGGCGCGAAAGCUAGGGGAGCAAACAGG